AAAACAUGAACAGGAAGUGUGUGUUUGCUCCUCUCGUGCAGGAGGAGGGCACACACACACCCAUGGCUCAGUCGCGUUGACAGGAGUCGCAGCACGGACGGACAUUUUCAUCCUGAAUCGCAACAAACACAGCGAAAUAAAAAGAAGAGCAGAAGCAGCUGAACGAGUCUUUCUUGUUUGAGGUCAAAGUUCAACAGUCAUCAUGGCCGAUGAAUCAGACAUGCGCAAUGAGCUGGCUGACCUGCAGACACGUGCAGAUCAGGUAGCCGAUGAGUCUCUGGAGAGCACUCGGCGUAUGCUGUCUCUGGUCGAGGAGGUGAGUCAACGCUGACACGCGUCACAUGACCCGUCACAACACAGAGGGGACACACACACUGAUUUCUUUAAUACCUGCGUCAUGAUAGAGAGUGAAGAUGUAAAAACAU
rnacentral:lncRNA from 1 species